GACGGACGAGUUUCCUCCACGUGACCGGAAAGUACGAGGCUCCAGGCUUGACUGGCAGGCGGUAACGUCAACGUCGCUACACGUGCAGGUGUCCGCGUGAGAACGCGAGAUUGUGAGGAUGCAUUCGAGUCUCGAAGAUUUCUCGCAUCCGCGAGUACCGCGAAUUGGAAGGUUACAAGGCCGGUGGAAGCGGGCUUUGGCCUCGCCGCGGUUUGAGAUCGUCGGUCGGGACCAACUUCACGCUGGUACCUUUGUGUGCAGUAAUUCGUACUCGUGAUAUUUCUUGCGAGAUGCGAUUUCCACGAUGGACGUCGAGGGGAAAAAGCGCGAUGCGACUUACUUCUUUCCGGCAGUACAACCGAUCCGCUCAUCUCUCACAUCGUUCACCGGAAAGAGAACAGACGGAGAUUAUACGAUUGCAGGCACGCACGCAUACAUCUUAGUCAUCGACCAGGUAAGAAAUUCCAACUCGUAUCACUUUUUUACCUCGGAUUUCCCGCGCGAAUAAAACGUACACGCACGUUUGGUUGGACGUUCGAUUCGUUUCCGUAAUUUUUCCCGUACAGCAACAAUGUCGCGACUCUUUCUGCGAUUAGCCAUAUGUCAUUGUAUUACGUAAACGUCAUUGUGCCAGCUGAUACCGUUUUACCUUGCGCAUGCAUAAUGCAGUGUUCUGCAGAAAUGUUUAUCUAUUCAUUGGCACGCGGUAACGAGGAAAAUUCGACAUAUCGGACGUUUUUCCAAUCGCUCGAAUUGUUUAUAUUAUAUAAUAGUUUGAUACACGCGAUCGGAUUUCGUCAUGACUGUGACUCGUGAUUGUGUCAUCAAUGAAACCUUCACACAUGCAAAAUAGUAUCGUUUAUUUUGUAACAAUGUAGCAGAGCUAUCUAUACAGAAUUAUAUUUUGCAUAAAUAUUCUCCGGAUUUAUAACAUUUUUGAUAGACGACCCGAUACUCGCGUGUCGUAUCUUAUCUAUAAUUUUCUAAUAUUAUCUAUAUUUCAUUAUGGUACAUCAUGAAUCUAUUUCUGUUGCAAGAAGUACGUCACAACAUCUUUUUCCGUAAGAGGAUGUAAGUUUCUCGUACAUGGCUCUUUGUCACGUACAACCGGGAAUAUUGUAUUUCCUAUCGCGUGUCAAAAAGAUUUCGAAACGUACGAGGAAAAUAUAAUCGGCGGCGAUAUAUAGAUACGUGAUUAGUAGAGAAGAUUGUGUUACCGGGUCUUUAUCAUUGCACGUACAAUAUGAUGAGGAUCUAUCAUAAUUAUGACGCAACCGAUCUGAAAACUGC